rnacentral:rRNA from 1 species
UACGUAGGGGGCGAGCGUUGUCCGAAUUUACUGGGCGUAAAGCGUGCGCAGGCGGUGAUGUAAGACAGGUGUGAAAUCCCCGGGCUUAACCUGGGAACUGCAUUUGUGACUGCAUCGCUGGAGUGCGGCAGAGGGGGAUGGAAUUCCGCGUGUAGCAGUGAAAUGCGUAGAUAUGCGGAGGAACACCGAUGGCGAAGGCGGGUCUCUGGGCCGAUACUGACGCUGAGGAGCGAAAGCGUGGGGAGCAAACAGG